rnacentral:rRNA from 1 species
GGGGGGGGGGGGGGGGGGGCUGAGCGGGUGCAGGUCGGACGGGAAGGGCCGGCUUGGGUGGGGUGCUCGAGUGGCGAACGGGUGAGUAACACGUGAGUAACCUGCCCUUGACUUUGGGAUAACUUCAGGAAACUGGGGCUAAUACCGGAUAGGAGCUCCUGCUGCAUGGUGGGGGUUGGAAAGUUUCGGCGGUUGGGGAUGGACUCGCGGCUUAUCAGCUUGUUGGUGGGGUAGUGGCUUACCAAGGCUUUGACGGGUAGCCGGCCUGAGAGGGUGACCGGCCACAUUGGGACUGAGAUACGGCCCAGACUCCUACGGGAGGCAGCAGUGGGGAAUAUUGCACAAUGGGCGGAAGCCUGAUGCAGCAACGCCGCGUGCGGGAUGACGGCCUUCGGGUUGUAAACCGCUUUCGCCUGUGACGAAGCGUGAGUGACGGUAAUGGGUAAAGAAGCACCGGCUAACUACGUG